rnacentral:rRNA from 1 species
GACGAACGCUGGCGGCGUGCCUAACACAUGCAAGUCGAACGGAGCACUUCGGUGCUUAGUGGCGAACGGGUGAGUAACGCGUGAGAAACCUGCCUCUCAGUGGGGGACAACAGUUGGAAACGACUGCUAAUACCGCAUAAUGUAUUCGGAAGGCAUCUUCUGAAUACCAAAGCUUUAUGUGCUGAGAGAUGGUCUCGCGUCUGAUUAGCUAGAUGGCGGGGUAACGGCCCACCAUGGCGACGAUCAGUAGCCGGUCUGAGAGGAUGAACGGCCACAUUGGGACUGAGAUACGGCCCAGACUCCUACGGGAGGCAGCAGUGGGGAAUAUUGGGCAAUGGGGGAAACCCUGACCCAGCAACGCCGCGUGAAGGAAGAAGGCCCUCGGGUUGUAAACUCUUUUACCAGGGACGAAGAAAGUGACGGUACCUGGAGAAAAAAGCAACGGCUAACUACGUG